GACGAACCGCCCAAACGUUAUUCGGAAUUACUGGGCUUAAAGGGUGCGUAGGCGGCCCGGCAAGUCAGGUGUGAAAUCCCACGGCUCAACCGUGGAACUGCGCUUGAAACUGCUGGGCUUGAGGGAGAUAGAGGUAAGCGGAACUGAUGGUGGAGCGGUGAAAUGCAUUGAUAUCAUCAGGAACACCGGUGGCGAAGGCGGCUUACUGGGUCUCUUCUGACGCUGAGGCACGAAAGCUAGGGGAGCGAACGGGAUUAGAUACCCCUGUAGUCCCU
rnacentral:rRNA from 1 species